rnacentral:snRNA from 1 species
CGAUGUGAGAGAGAUCUGGCUGUGACAUCUGUCAUCCCACUGACUGCCAGGGUUGAUUCAGCUGAUCUGGCUUGCUCAGCAAGUGUCCCUUCCUCCCUCACUGCUCCAUUUACGUCCUUCCCGAAGGUGUGCAUUUGGUUGAAAGGACGACCAUCCCCGACAGAGGAACGGCCUUUGGUCAAGGGUAUAUGAGUAGCUGCACUCCCCUGCUAGAAUCUCCAAAGAUGCUCUCAAAAAUAUUCAGAAAAAGAAAGUAAAAAAAAAA